UGCUGUUUCAUCUGUACUGGUGUUUGUUUUGUAAUUUUGGUUUUGUUUUGUUUGUUUUUUGUAAGGCAGGUCUGAAAGUGUAGUGACAAAAUGAACCUCAAGACAUGGCAAACUAUUUUGUCCUUCGGGGCUUCUGGAAUAGAACCUUCUGUCUUGCCUACCACUGACACCUCAAGCUCUUCACAGACAUAGCUUUCUGACCCCGCACACAGUGCACAGGAAUGGAUGGCUGGGAAGGACUUAAGGUCAAAAGCGACAUGAUCAUUGAUGCACUCUCUGAAGAUAACAGUUUGACCAUGAAAAAGAAAGAAUGGGAGUAGUCUCAGGUCUGGCGGACACUAUGCAGCUCUCAUGAUAACCAUCAACAGACACCUGGAUGAUGUCGGGGCAGAGGCAUGAAAAGGGGGAUGGCGGGGAUACUGAGAGCACGAUAUCAAAGCAGAACAGGUUGUAUCAGCCUGUCCUUCCAGGAACAUCCCCUUCUCUGUGGCUGUGUGCCAUCCCUACAUUUGUCUUCCUGGAAAACAGGCCAACCUUCUUUAUGCACAGGUGCAAACUUGGACUGUCGCUGCACUGGGAAGGUUGCAGUCACCUUGAGUGGAUUCCCCACACAGCUCAGCAACAUGCAGAGCCUUUCCUCUGCUGCUCUGUCAGCUCCGUUUUGCAUCAAGACUGCUUUGUGUGUCACCAAGUUAUUAAAGUUGCAGAUCACA